rnacentral:sRNA from 1 species
UAUCUCUCCGUACGGGGAAGGAUGAGAAGCUUCGACUAAGGUUCGAUUCGAGCGCAGCGAGAAAACGUUGCCGCAGGCAACGACCCGAAGGGUGAGGAGCGGA